GGGCCCUUGGUACAAUGGUAAAACACCUCGUUUGCAACGAGGAGAUGCGAGUUCGAUUCUCGCAGGGUCCA
rnacentral:tRNA from 1 species